rnacentral:lncRNA from 1 species
UUAGGUUUACCAGCAAGGACAGGCAUGUACUCUCCCCAGUGCUCUCUCCCAUGCCCUUGCCAGCUGCUCCGCUAUGCAGUGAGUCCUGGAUGUCAAGGUCAAGACAGAGAAAUCCGUGCCCACUCCCCACGGGGACGAAACGCGGAUCCGCCCCACGCUGCCUGCAGUCGCCGGGCCCCACGACCCUGGGCGGGCUGCCUGACCCCUCAGCCACGGCCUCACACGCGGCGAUGGGAGCCGGGGACCCGCAACCCUGGGAGGGAGCCUCCCGCCAGCUUCUACCUGUCGAGACAGUCCGGACGCUGCAGGCGCGGCCAUCUUUUCCCGGGCGGCUGUAGGUCAAACCCAAAUGAAAAGAGACUACUGGCGCCAGAGCGCACGCGCGCGCGCCAGCGUGAUCGCUCGGCUUUCUGGGAAAUGUACGCGUCAGGAGCCCGGGAGUGUGGGUAAGAACCUCUUGCAUGCUGGGAGUUGUAGUCCGUACCUGCCGCGGUCCGGCUGGACUCGUGGGAAGCCCUGCCUACUGUGAGCAUCACUAUUCCCUUGGCAGGGAUCCUGAACUGUGUGAGAACAGAGAGACCCAGCUGGGCGCUCCCAUGCAGGCCCCGACUCCCCGUUCUCUCUGCUCUUGACUGUAGGCGUAACCAGCUGCUUCAGGCUCCUGCCUUGACUUCCCUGAAGUGAUAGACUGCAACCUGGGAUUGUGAGCUAAGUAAACCCUUCUCUUAGUAAGGAGACUCUUGUCAUGAGCCUGUUCCUGACUCUCCACCAGGCAUGGAGUUAGCCUGAUCCCUGAUCCCCGAUCCCCGGCUUUUGCUGCAUUUCCGGCAUACAGCGUGCACUGAGCUGAUGACAUAUCUGAUGUGGUUCAAGGCUCCCGAGAGAGCUAAAAGGUACCUGAGUCUGAGGAGCCCUCAAUGGGGAAUAGCAAGCCAGACAGCUUGCUAAUGGACAGACAGAAUGAGACACCUGGCUGGCCCUUCAAAUGGGCAGAAGUUUCUUACCUUCCCAUACUUAAUGCCAGGAUUAGAAUCCAGGCCCAGAGACCAGCCCACCUCUGUCCAAUGGGACCCAAUCUCUCGGCAGCAAUUCUGGCUCUCGGUUUUUAAUCUUAGAUUCCAGUUUUCUUUGUUCCUUAAUUUUCCCUGUGGGAUGUUUUUUUUUUUUUUCCCAUAGAGCUUUGUGUGGUUCUGUUAUGGAGCAUAGAAGGAGGGCUGAUUUCUCUGUUGGGAGGUGAGGGGAGCACUCUGUCACUCUGAUGGAAUGGAUUGGAAGUGGGUGGAUGCUGGCCAACCUGUGUCCUGCUAAGAUGCAGCCUAGGGGAAUGUCCGUCCCUCACCCCCAGCUGCCUUCGCUCUGCUGGCUGCUGGUCACGUGUCCCUGUUUACCUGCACAGGCAGUCAUUAUUCACCCCUUCCCACGUACCCCCACACUUGCACACAAAGCCAGAGAGUGGCUUACAUUUUCUUUUCUUUCUUUCUUUUAUUUUUUUUUAUUUUUAUUUUUUUUUUUUAAAAGAACCUUCCCCAAACCCAUUCUAAAAUGUCAAGUGUUUCAGUUUGAGGAAAAAAAAAGCUGAAAAAACCGUGACUCAUGACAAGGCUGACAAACAGCUCUGAGGGUAUGCUGGUGAGUCACUCUGAGACUGUAGCGGCGAGGGCCAGCGGUGGGGAGAUUGUCAGGAGACCAGCCAGUAAAAUUCCACAACUCUCCCGAGCAGAGUAGGAGGUAAUUCAAAAACCCUGGGAUUUUUCCAGCUCUCAUUUCAUGUAGGACUCAGGCUGCUCUUAGAUAUGUUGAUCUCCUCAGGAAAUCAUCAAGAAUGAUUACCAAAAAUAUAAAACAAAAAAAAAAACCA